rnacentral:misc_RNA from 1 species
GAUGAAGAACGUAGCGAAAUGCGAUACGUAAUGUGAAUUGCAGAAUUCAGUGAAUCAUCGAGUCUUUGAACGCACAUUGCGCCCCCUGGUAUUCCGGGGGGCAUGCCUGUCCGAGCGUCAUUGCUGCCCUCAAGCACGGCUUGUGUGUUGGGCCUCCGUCCUCCUCCCGGGGUACGGGCCCGAAAGCAGCGGCGGCACCGCGUCCGGUCCUCGAGCGUAUGGGGCUUCGUCACCCGCUCUUGUAGGCCCGGCCGGCGCUUGCCGACACAUCAAUCUUUUUUCCAGGUUGACCUCGGAUCAGGUAGGGAUACCCGCUGAACUUAAGCAUAUCAAUAAGCGGAGGA